rnacentral:rRNA from 1 species
CCUACGGGAGGCAGCAGUGAGGAAUAUUGGUCAAUGGACGAGAGUCUGAACCAGCCAAGUAGCGUGAAGGAUGACUGCCCUAUGGGUUGUAAACUUCUUUUAUAUGGGAAUAAAACGUUCCAAGUGUGGGAUUUUGUAUGUACCAUAUGAAUAAGGAUCGGCUAACUCCGUGCCAGCAGCCGCGGUAAUACGGAGGAUCCGAGCGUUAUCCGGAUUUAUUGGGUGUAAAGGGAGCGUAGGUGGAUUGUUAAGUCAGUUGUGAAAGUUUGCGGCUCAACCGUAAAAUUGCAGUUGAAACUGGCAGUCUUGAGUACAGUAGAGGUGGGCGGAAUUCGUGGUGUAGCGGUGAAAUGCUUAGAUAUCACGAAGAACUCCGAUUGCGAAGGCAGUUCACUGGACUGCAACUGACACUGAGGCUCGAAAGUGUGGGUAUCAAACAGGAUUAGAUACCCCAGUAGUC